rnacentral:rRNA from 1 species
ACGCUGGCGGCAGGCUUAACACACGCAAGUCGAACGGUAACAGGGAUUAGCUUGCUAAUUUGCUGACGAGUGGCGGACGGGUGAGUAAUGCUUGGGAAUCUGGCUUAUGGAGGGGGAUAACUACGGGAAACUGUAGCUAAUACCGCGUAAAAUCUUCGGAUUAAAGGGUGGGACUUUCGAGCCACCUGCCAUAAGAUGAGCCCAAGUGGGAUUAGGUAGUUGGUUAGGUAAAGGCUGACCAAGCCGACGAUCUCUAGCUGGUCUGAGAGGAUGACCAGCCACACUGGAACUGAGACACGGUCCAGACUCCUACGGGAGGCAGCAGUGGGGAAUAUUGCACAAUGGGGGGAACCCUGAUGCAGCCAUGCCGCGUGAAUGAAGAAGGCCUUCGGGUUGUAAAGUUCUUUCGGUGACGAGGAAGGUUGAUAGGUUAAUAGCCUAUCAAAUUGACGUUAAUCACAGAAGAAGCACCGGCUAACUCCGUGCCAGCAGCCGCGGUAAUACGGGGGGUGCGAGCGUUAAUUGGAAUAACUGGGCGUAAAGGGCACGCAGGCGGUGACUUAAGUGAGAUGUGAAAGCCCCGAGCUUAACUUGGGAAUUGCAUUUCAUACUGGGUCGCUAGAGUACUUUAGGGAGGGGUAGAAUUCCACGUGUAGCGGUGAAAUGCGUAGAGAUGUGGAGGAAUACCGAAGGCGAAGGCAGCCCCUUGGGAAUGUACUGACGCUCAUGUGCGAAAGCGUGGGGAGCAAACAGGAUUAGAUACCCUGGUAGUCCACGCUGUAAACGAUGUCGAUUUGGGGAUUGGGCUUUGAGCUUGGUGCCCGUAGCUAACGUGAUAAAUCGACCGCCUGGGGAGUACGGCCGCAAGGUUAAAACUCAAAUGAAUUGACGGGGGCCCGCAC